GAUGAAGAACGUAGCGAAAUGCGAUAAGUAAUGUGAAUUGCAGAAUUCAGUGAAUCAUCGAAUCUUUGAACGCACAUUGCGCCCGCCAGUAUUCUGGCGGGCAUGCCUGUUCGAGCGUCAUUUCAACCAUCAAGCCCCAGGCUUGUGUUGGAGCCCUGCGGCUGCCGCAGCCUCCCAAAACCAGUGGCGGGCUCGCUAUCACACCGAGUGCAGUAGUUUACUCUUCGCUCAGGGCGUGUGGCGGGUGCUAGCCGUGAAACCCCCAACUUCUCAAGGUUGACCUCGGAUCAGGUAGGAAUACCCGCUGAACUUAAGCAUAUCAAUAAGUGGAGGA
rnacentral:misc_RNA from 1 species